CAGAUCAGUCGGUUAGAGUGUGGUGCUGAGAAUGCCAAGGCUGCAGGUUCGAGCCCCCUGUGGGAUAGC